AACGUAGGAGACAAACGUUAUCCGGAGUUACUGGGCGUAAAGGGCGCGUAGGCGGUUCGUUAAGUCCUGUGUGAAAUCCCCCGGCUCAACUGGGGAACUGCACAGGAAACUAGCGGGCUUGAGUUCGGGAGAGGUGAGUGGAAUUCCGAGUGUAGAGGUGAAAUUCGUAGAUAUUCGGAAGAACACCAGUGGCGAAGGCGGCUCACUGGCCCGUUACCGACGCUCAGGCGCGACAGCGUGGGGGAGCAAACAGG
rnacentral:rRNA from 1 species